UUUGAAGCCGAUUUUCUUUUCCAGUUGAGUCGCAUUCAGUGUUGCUCUAUUUACAGCCGCUUGAUUCGUUCUUGAUUGUCAUUUUUGCCUCGCCGUGAACCAUUGGGCUCAUAUUUGGGUACAUCUUGAUUCAGUGAGCGAAUCCUUGAUUUUCCAAAAGGUUGAAGUGGACUUGAUUUUCCACUUCUUGGGUAAGUUGUGGAAUUUACAUAUGGGGUAAUUUGAAUGGUUGAAACUAUUUAGAAAGAUGUUGAUUUUAUGAUUGAUUAUGUUUA